rnacentral:rRNA from 1 species
AUGGUCAUUGCCCCUUCCCCUCCCCCAGCCCCGGCCCCGCGACGUACCUGCGCGGCCCGUCGACGUACGUACGUGUACGCGCGUCCGACGGCGUUUUUUUUACUGUGGCGACGUACGUUUUUUACUGUGGCGUCGGUGGUCAAUCCGCGCGUCGUGGCGCGUGAACUGCGGCCCGCCGUCCCGUCCCGUCCGUCCCCUCGUCUGCCGCCCCGCCGCCCCGUCCCCUCGUCUGCCGCGCCGCCGCCCUCGACUGUCGGCCCGUCCGCCCGUCGCAUUAGCUGCCCACCCGUCCGCCCGCUGCCCCGCCGUCUGCCCUAUAAAUCGCACCCCCGUCCGCCCGUCGCCGCAAACACCACUCCUCCCGACUCCACCUCCCAAAAGGCCGCCGGCGACAUGUCGUUCCACCGUGGCAGCAGCUCCGGCACCGGCGGCGACGACGGACUGAGCGCGUGGCCGUCGAGCCUGAGCACGCCGGAGACAGAGGAGCUGUACCGGUUUGGGCUCCUCGUGCCGCCGGGUUGCCGUCUUCCGCACAACUGGAAACUCGACAAGGACGGCUACCCGAGGCGCGGGCCCGGCGCCACCGCGGAGGAGAAGCAGACCGGCGGCCGCAACAACAUCGCCGGCCGUCACGCGUUCUGGGACGGCAAAGAGUACGCCGCCAUCAUCGGCGCGUACCGGCUGGCGGAGUCCGGCGUCACGCCAGACCUCAUCGGCGACCGCCGCCGCCUUCUUGUCCCACGCCCCCGUCCAGAAGCGCGCGGCCGUCGGGCCCCUCCACCACCUGCGCCGACGCCCGACGAUCCCCCCGCCCCGCCGGAGGUGGAACUGCCGCCGGAGCAGGUGGUUCUUCGGGAGGACGGCGAUCCCGACGAUACACCAUGUUACCUCGUCGCCCUGCGGGCGUCGGUGGCUGCAGCGGCGGCUGCAGAUGCGGCGGCGGCUGCGAGGGAGGCCGCCGAGCAGGCGGCGGCGGCGAUUCCGCCGGUGGUCCCGCAGGCGGAGGCGGAGUCGUCGGACGAAGACGUCAUCGACUGGGAGCGGUUAGCCCAGGUCAGCGACCACGACGACGACGACGACGGCGGUGACGGCGCGGCGGAGUUCAUCGAUCUCGCGGCUAGCGACGAGGAAUAG